rnacentral:rRNA from 1 species
UACAGAGGGUGCGAGCGUUGUCCGGAAUCACUGGGCGUAAAGGGCGCGUAGGUGGCGACCCAAGUCUGUGGUGAAAGCUCGACGCUCAACGUCGAGUCGGCCAUAGAUACUGGGUUGCUUGAGCACUGUAGAGGCAGAUGGAAUUCCGGGUGUAGCGGUGGAAUGCGUAGAGAUCCGGAAGAACACCGGUGGCGAAGGCGGUCUGCUGGGCAGUUGCUGGACACUGAGGCGCGACAGCGUGGGGGAGCAAACAGGGAUUAAGAAAACCCCAGUAACGUCCAGAACCAAACG